AACGAACGCUGGCGGCAUGCCUAACACAUGCAAGUCGAACGAGACCUUCGGGUCUAGUGGCGCACGGGUGCGUAACGCGUGGGAACCUGCCCUUAGGUUCGGAAUCACUCCCCGAAAGGGGUGCUAAUACCGGAUAAUGUCUUCGGACCAAAGAUUUAUCGCCUUUGGAUGGGCCCGCGUUGGAUUAGCUAGUUUGUAGGGUAAAAGCCUACCAAGGCGACGAUCCAUAGCUGUUCUGAGAGGAUGAUCAGACACACUGGGACUGAGACACGGCCCAGACUCCUACGGGAGGCAGCAGUGGGGAAUAGUGGACAAUGGGCGAAAGCAUGAUCCAGCAAUGCCGCGUGAGUGAUGAAGGCAGUAGGGUUGUAAAGCUCUUUUACCAGGGAUGAUAAUGACAGUACCGGGAGAAUAAGCGCCGGCUAACUCCGUG
rnacentral:rRNA from 1 species